UACGUAGGCAGCAAACGUUGUUCGGAGUUACUGGGCGUAAAGAGUACGUAGGCGGUUUGCCAAGUUUGGUGUGAAAUCUCCCGGCUUAACUGGGAGGGUGCGCCGAAUACUGGCGGGCUUGAGUAUUGGAGAGGAAAGCGGAAUUCCUGGUGUAGCGGUGAAAUGCGUAGAUAUCAGGAGGAACACCGGUGGUGUAGACGGCUUUCUGGACAAUCACUGACGCUGAGGUACGAAAGCGUGGGUAGCAAACAGG
rnacentral:rRNA from 1 species